rnacentral:rRNA from 1 species
ACGAACGCUGGCGGCGUGCUUAACACAUGCAAGUCGAACGGGUCUGCCCUGUUUUUUGCGGGGUGGGUCAGUGGCGAACGGGUGAGUAACACGUGAGUAACCUGCCCCUCACUUCUGGAUAACCGCUUGAAAGGGUGGCUAAUACGGGGUGUUCUGGCUGUGCCGCAUGGUGUGGCUGGGAAAGAUUCACUUUUGUGGUGUUUUGGUGGGGGAUGGGCUCGCGGCCUAUCAGCUUGUUGGUGGGGUGAUGGCCUGCCAAGGCUUUGACGGGUAGCCGGCCUGGGAGGGUUGGCGGUCACACUGGGACUGAGAUACGGCCCAGACUCCUGCGGGAGGCAGCAGUGGGGGGUAUUGCACAAUGGGCGGAAGCCUGAUGCAGCGACGUCGCGUGAGGGAUGGAGGCCUUCGGGUUGUGAACCUCUUUCGCCGGUGAAGAAGGUCCUGCUCUUUGUGGUGGGGUUGACGGUAGCCGGGUUAUGAAGCGCCGGCUAACUACGUG